rnacentral:rRNA from 1 species
ACGGCGAGUGAAGCGGCAACAGCUCAAAUUUGAAAUCUGGCGCAAGCCCGAGUUGUAAUUUGUAGAGGAUGUUUCUGGCGACGUGCCUUCCGAGUUCCCUGGAACGGGACGCCAUAGAGGGUGAGAGCCCCGUACGGUUGGAUGCCUAGCCUCUGUGAAACUCCUUCGACGAGUCGAGUAGUUUGGGAAUGCUGCUCUAAAUGGGAGGUAUACGUCUUCUAAAGCUAAAUACCGGCCAGAGACCGAUAGCGC